rnacentral:rRNA from 1 species
GAGACGCGGUACGGGUAACCCUACCCUCGUAACACAACAGAAUAACACAACGAAAGGUAUGCUAAUACGGGAUAAUAUAUUUGAGAGGCAUCUCUUGAAUAUCAAAGGUGAGCCAGUACAGGAUGGACCCGCGUCUGAUUAGCUAGUUGGUAAGGUAACGGCUUACCAAGGCGACGAUCAGUAGCCGACCUGAGAGGGUGAUCGGCCACAUUGGAACUGAGACACGGUCCAA